ACAGCCCCGUACACAAAAAUGCACAUAUUGUGAGCUUGAUGAGUAGGGCGGGACACGUGGUAUCCUGUCUGAAUAUGGGGGGACCAUCCUCCAAGGCUAAAUACUCCUGACUGACCGAUAGUGAACCAGUACCGUGAGGGAAAGGCGAAAAGAACCCCGGCGAGGGGAGUGAAAAAGAACCUGAAACCGUGUACGUACAAGCAGUGGGAGCACGCUUAGGCGUGUGACUGCGUACCUUUUGUAUAAUGGGUCAGCGACUUAUAUUCUGUAGCAAGGUUAACCGAAUAGGGGAGCCGAAGGGAAACCGAGUCUUAACUGGGCGUUAAGUUGCAGGGUAUAGACCCGAAACCCGGUGAUCUAGCCAUGGGCAGGUUGAAGGUUGGGUAACACUAACUGGAGGACCGAACCGACUAAUGUUGAAAAAUUAGCGGAUGACUUGUGGCUGGGGGUGAAAGGCCAAUCAAACCGGGAGAUAGCUGGUUCUCCCCGAAAGCUAUUUAGGUAGCGCCUCGUGAAUUCAUCUCCGGGGGUAGAGCACUGUUUCGGCAAGGGGGUCAUCCCGACUUACCAACCCGAUGCAAACUGCGAAUACCGGAGAAUGUUAUCACGGGAGACACACGGCGGGUGCUAACGUCCGUCGUGAAGAGGGAAACAACCCAGACCGCCAGCUAAGGUCCCAAAGUCAUGGUUAAGUGGGAAACGAUGUGGGAAGGCCCAGACAGCCAGGAUGUUGGCUUAGAAGCAGCCAUCAUUUAAAGAAAGCGUAAUAGCUCACUGGUCGAGUCGGCCUGCGCGGAAGAUGUAACGGGGCUAAACCAUGCACCGAAGCUGCGGCAGCGACGCUUAUGCGUUGUUGGGUAGGGGAGCGUUCUGUAAGCCUGCGAAGGUGUGCUGUGAGGCAUGCUGGAGGUAUCAGAAGUGCGAAUGCUGACAUAAGUAACGAUAAAGCGGGUGAAAAGCCCGCUCGCCGGAAGACCAAGGGUUCCUGUCCAACGUUAAUCGGGGCAGGGUGAGUCGACCCCUAAGGCGAGGCCGAAAGGCGUAGUCGAUGGGAAACAGGUUAAUAUUCCUGUACUUGGUGUUACUGCGAAGGGGGGACGGAGAAGGCUAUGUUGGCCGGGCGACGGUUGUCCCGGUUUAAGCGUGUAGGCUGGUUUUCCAGGCAAAUCCGGAAAAUCAAGGCUGAGGCGUGAUGACGAGGCACUACGGUGCUGAAGCAACAAAUGCCCUGCUUCCAGGAAAAGCCUCUAAGCAUCAGGUAACAUCAAAUCGUACCCCAAACCGACACAGGUGGUCAGGUAGAGAAUACCAAGGCGCUUGAGAGAACUCGGGUGAAGGAACUAGGCAAAAUGGUGCCGUAACUUCGGGAGAAGGCACGCUGAUAUGUAGGUGAAGUCCCUUGCGGAUGGAGCUGAAAUCAGUCGAAGAUACCAGCUGGCUGCAACUGUUUAUUAAAAACACAGCACUGUGCAAACACGAAAGUGGACGUAUACGGUGUGACGCCUGCCCGGUGCCGGAAGGUUAAUUGAUGGGGUCAGCGCAAGCGAAGCUCUUGAUCGAAGCCCCGGUAAACGGCGGCCGUAACUAUAACGGUCCUAAGGUAGCGAAAUUCCUUGUCGGGUAAGUUCCGACCUGCACGAAUGGCGUAAUGAUGGCCAGGCUGUCUCCACCCGAGACUCAGUGAAAUUGAACUCGCUGUGAAGAUGCAGUGUACCCGCGGCAAGACGGAAAGACCCCGUGAACCUUUACUAUAGCUUGACACUGAACAUUGAGCCUUGAUGUGUAGGAUAGGUGGGAGGCUUUGAAGUGUGGACGCCAGUCUGCAUGGAGCCGGCCUUGAAAUACCACCCUUUAAUGUUUGAUGUUCUAACGUGGACCCGUGAUCCGGGUUGCGGACAGUGUCUGGUGGGUAGUUUGACUGGGGCGGUCUCCUCCUAAAGAGUAACGGAGGAGCACGAAGGUUGGCUAAUCCUGGUCGGACAUCAGGAGGUUAGUGCAAUGGCAUAAGCCAGCUUGACUGCGAGCGUGACGGCGCGAGCAGGUGCGAAAGCAGGUCAUAGUGAUCCGGUGGUUCUGAAUGGAAGGGCCAUCGCUCAACGGAUAAAAGGUACUCCGGGGAUAACAGGCUGAUACCGCCCAAGAGUUCAUAUCGACGGCGGUGUUUGGCACCUCGAUGUCGGCUCAUCACAUCCUGGGGCUGAAGUAGGUCCCAAGGGUAUGGCUGUUCGCCAUUUAAAGUGGUACGCGAGCUGGGUUUAGAACGUCGUGAGACAGUUCGGUCCCUAUCUGCCGUGGGCGCUGGAGAACUGAGGGGGGCUGCUCCUAGUACGAGAGGACCGGAGUGGACGCAUCACUGGUGUUCGGGUUGUCAUGCCAAUGGCACUGCCCGGUAGCUAAAUGCGGAAGAGAUAAGUGCUGAAAGCAUCUAAGCACGAAACUUGCCCCGAGAUGAGUUCUCCCUGACCCUUUAAGGGUCCUGAAGGAACGUUGAAGACGACGACGUUGAUAGGCCGGGUGUGUAAGCGCAGCGAUGCGUUGAGCUAACCGGUACUAAUGAACCGUGAGGCUUA
rnacentral:rRNA from 1 species